rnacentral:rRNA from 1 species
GAUGAACGCUGGCGGCGUGCCUAAUACAUGCGAGUCGAGCGAACAGACGAGGAGCUUGCUCCUCUGACGUUAGCGGCGGACGGUUGAGUAACACGUGGAUAACCUACCUAUAAGACUGGGAUAACUUCGGGAAACCGGAGCUAAUACCGGAUAAUAUAUUGAACCGCAUGGUUCAAUAGUGAAAGACGGUUUUGCUGUCACUUAUAGAUGGAUCCGCGCCGCAUUAGCUAGUUGGUAAGGUAACGGCUUACCAAGGCAACGAUGCGUAGCCGACCUGAGAGGGUGAUCGGCCACACUGGAACUGAGACACGGUCCAGACUCCUACGGGAGGCAGCAGUAGGGAAUCUUCCGCAAUGGGCGAAAGCCUGACGGAGCAACGCCGCGUGAGUGAUGAAGGUCUUCGGAUCGUAAAACUCUGUUAUUAGGGAAGAACAAAUGUGUAAGUAACUAUGCACGUCUUGACGGUACCUAAUCAGAAAGCCACGGCUAACUACGUG